rnacentral:misc_RNA from 1 species
UUGCGCGCCCCCGACUAGCCAG